rnacentral:rRNA from 1 species
UGGGGAAUAUUGGACAAUGGGCGAAAGCCUGAUCCAGCCAUGCCGCGUGAGUGAUGAAGGCCCUAGGGUUGUAAAGCUCUUUCAACGGUGAAGACAAUGACGGUAACCGUAGAAGAAGCCCCGGCUACCUCCGUGCCAGCAGCCGCGGUAAUACGGAGGGGGCUAGCGUUGUUCGGAAUUACUGGGCGUAAAGCGCACGUAGGCGGCUUUGCAAGUUAGAGGUGAAAGCCCAGGGCUCAACCCUGGAAUUGCCUUUAAGACUGCAUCGCUAGAAUUGUGGAGAGGUAAGUGGAAUUCCGAGUGUAGAGGUGAAAUUCGUAGAUAUUCGGAAGAACACCAGUGGCGAAGGCGACUUACUGGACACAUAUUGACGCUGAGGUGCGAAAGCGUGGGGAGCAAAC